UUCUUUUGCAACAUUUAAUCUAAUCUCAAUCUGACAUAGACUUCAACUUGUUUAAUUUCUUCAUUAAAUUUUCUGUUGCUGUUAAAAUGAGCUGUAUUGGUUGUAAUGGGCAGAUGUUAUACUGCAGUUUCCGGUGAGACACUGUGACUCCACCACAACUGAAACAACAGGUCACUCUUAUCUGGGCUGCUGUUUAGUCUCAUGAAAAACUACUAGAGCUCACCUCAGAUGACUCUCAGAAUGUUUGCUGCAGAUCUUCUUGUAUUCAGCUCUAUUCUAUCAGCUGCUUGGUGUCAGUCAGUUCUGAAAGUAUCGGUCCCCAGAACCCUGAUCAGCACCAGCGGCUCUUGCCUUCUGAUUCCCUGCCUAUUCAACAUUUCAAAGGAGAAAGAAAACAUUCCUGACAGUUCACCAGUAGUAACAUGGAGACGAGGAUCUCUGUGGAAACUCUAUGAUACAGAUGAUUUCACCAACACUCACUAUCAGAUGGAACCUGUGAUGGAAGUGGUGGGUGACCUAGGAAAGAAGAACUGCACUUCUGUCAUGAGAAACCUCAGCAGCCAGCAUUCAGAUCGUUACUACUUCAGGAUUGAAACUAAGACCUCCACUAUGAUUGACACAAAAGCUGUGUAUAUAAAUGUGUCAGGUAAGGCAGUGCAAAUGUUUCGAUUAUAAACCAAGACAUUACCAGCACCAAGUGUUUUCAGCGGCCUCAAACCUUUGAAAAUAAGAAGUAGUUCUACAAAAAAAUCAAUCAAGUUAGAGUUUUUUUUGUUUGUUUGUUUUUUACAGUCGCUGGGACCAAUUUCUCAAUAUUAACUCACUCUUUCAAAACAUGUCCCACAGUUCUCCUAAACAACUUUUAGCUCAGCAGUUAGUUUCACAUUCAGAAUGCACUAAAACUACCAAAAAGUCAUUCUUCUUUAACACUAGCUAAUCUGUCAGCUAGCAAGCACACUUUAUCACUCAUUAAACAACACUAACAAGAAGUAGCACUGAACAAUCUUCUGUAAAAAAAUUUAACAAAAUAAGAAUGACAGCUCUUUACACUUCAGAAUUCACUUCAGUAUAUGUUACAUGGUCCAUGUUUACAUUACAGUACAAAAUUAUUCCCAUUUUAUACAGAUAUCAGAAUCACGUUUAUUGCCAAGUACUGUAUGUAUACAUGUACGAGGAAUUUGUCUUGGUAAAGUGGUGCUUGACAAAAACAAUAGAAAAACAAGAAUAAAUAAUAGAACAAUGAGAUAAACA
ensembl:lncRNA